CGGUCUUUGCCGUCGUCAUCUCAUCGACUCCAACAUCCCGAACAUCAUCCACCGAUGGCUUCCCAAGGCGAUUUCUAACAACCCAACCGCAGCCGAGUCCCUCGCCUCUCCCCGAUCCGUCACCUACUGGUUUGUGCCGACCCCCAAAUCAUUGGAUUCGGGGACUUCUGGAUAGAAAUCGUGAGUUUUACUGAUAAAGCUGUCGCCUUUGUGUUGCUUUGAUACAGCUGUGGCUCUUGUGGGUACGCCCUGAAUCGGAGCUUCACCGAUCGGGACGCAGUCGUGGGGAUUGUUGAGGAGGAGGACCAAAUUAUUCUUCCGGAAAUGCCGGAACUUCGUUGGCGUCGGAUAAGAAGACGGUACCGCCUCAUCGGCUGGGUCUGAUGGCUCCGACUCUGUCUCCGGAAACGAGAGGUUGCGUGGAAGAAAUACGCUAUCAAGAUUAGGGCUCUGCAGCCGGCAUCUUCAUCUGACGAGUCAGGUAUUCCUCUCUCUUCCUGAUGUCCAUGGACAAGUCGACGUCACAUAUGCUUCUUGAUGCUAGAAUAUCAGAUGCACUUGUAAAGGAUGUUUGGACCAGGAAAGUUGUCUUUGAUCUGUUUGUAGUUUUGUCUCAGAGUCUUAAAUACACAGAAAUUUGUUUGCUGUUGAGUAAUGGUGGGUUUAGAUACAUUUUCAUUAUGUGAAUUAAGUUGGUUAUGAAUGAAAAUUCUUGGUGUAAUCAGAACACUUGCUCGUUUCUCUAUUUGUGAGUGAUUUCUCCUGUGUAGUAUUCAUCUUAGAGUUUGCAUCUUGUGGGAACAUAGUCUUGACUCCCUGAGCCAUGAUCUUGGUAACAUUUUGACAUGUGAGCUUUGUGAUAUUCUAAAUCCGAUGAAACUGGAUAUCAUUUUGUUUGUCAAAACAGAGCUUGAGGUUAGUAGUUACAUUGUUAGAUCAAGAUGAGGUGGAGGGUUUCAUUUGUUAGGUUCAUCUUGCAUGAGUUUUCUUUGGAAAUAAUCUAAUGAUUACGAGGGGAAUUGGUGGGAGAAAGAAGCAUCCCAACUUUAGGCCAUUGGUUUGUGAUGUUUCACCAGCUAACUAGGUAAGUUAUGGUGUUUUCUUAUCUUGGUAACAUUCGCAACUUUGCAUUUACUUUCUUUGGCCAAUGUCUCUUUGCUUAUCAAACAAGAUCUCGGUGUUUGGAGAUGAUGAAUUAAGUGGUUGGAUGAAGGUUGCACUUUGUAGCUAGGAGAAAGAAGACUAAGGACUAUACCAAUUCCAUUGUAUCUAAUUUUUGUUUUCCUUAUUUCCACUUGCAGAAUCAUGAGAAUUGUUUUAAUGGUUUCUAACUCUUGUUACCUACAUCAAAGUUAAAGAUCUAGUUACAAUUUCGUAGCUACAUUAUUGACUAGGUUAAUGAAAAGGUCUUGAAGAUUCUUGAUUAUAUACCAGAAAUUCAUUUUCUACAGCUAAAAUUUUGUCGAUAUGAAAUUUUAGUAGAAAUAUGUUCUUCAAAACCUGAUCUUUGUUUAACAGUUCUAGGCAUACAUUGUUGAAUUUCUUAGGUUGAGCAGAUUCAUAUAUACCUAUAGUUUUAAGUCAAAUAUAAUAAAAUGAAUCACAAGAUUACAAUCCACAUUAAAGAUAUUUGGUAAAAUAAAAAUUCAAAUCCAUGACAAAGAUAAAGCAAAAGAAAAGAAGGGAAAAGAAAUAAGCAAGGGACACCAAACUAUAAAAGAAAAAAGUACAAUCUUCCACAUUUACCUAAACAGCUUAAAUCAUCAAAAUAUUGGGAAGAUGCAGUAGUACUCAAUAGAUCCACCAGAGGGAAAUAACUGCAGCUGCAAAUACAAUACCUCCCUCAUACGUGCAUUUUAAGUUCACUGCAGCAGUGGCUCCACUAGAAUCUGAAGUGCCUGAAGGGCUUUCAGCAAUGGAGCUUUCCUUCUUUUUUGAUUUGUUCGGUGCAGGUGCAGCAGCAGGAGCUGGGGGUCCAAAGAUUUCUAAAGGAAGGAGUACCUGAUCAAGCUUGUACACAGCUAGCUGGCUAUCCGAGUAUACCGUGCUGGCGAUGGAGGUAUUGACAAUUCCUGUUGUUAUGUUCACUGAGUUUCCAAUGGUUGUCACGUUCAAUGGGUACCUACCAUUGUUAACAUCACCCGCCUGUGUUCUUACAGGGUUGCUUAUUGUUUGGAACUGAGAGAUCGAGACGAUGUAAGGCAGUUCAUGGAAUUGGAUUAGCGCAACCUGUUGCUGAUCGGUGAGGGAGUUCAUUGUGCCAGAGGGGAGGCUGGAGAAAGCACUAUCGGUGGGCGCAAAUAUGGUGAUGCCGUUGACGGAGUUGUUCAGCUGGUUGUUUAUUUGGUCGCCAACAUGGGUGCUUUUGAGCAGGCGGAUGAAGGUUCCGAACUCCCCUGCUUUCUCAAGAACGGCUGUGAUGUUGGGUGGGCCUGCUGGAGCUGGAGAUUCUGCCAGCUGAGCUGAAGUUACAACAAUGAAUUGGACAAGAAAGAGGAGGGUAAUGGCACAAGUGAAGUGUUGCAUGGUUUCAGUUGCCUCUUUUCGCUUCAGGAAGAUAGG
rnacentral:lncRNA from 1 species